rnacentral:rRNA from 1 species
GAACGCUGGCGGCGUGCUUAACACAUGCAAGUCGAACGAAACACCUUAUUUGAUUUUCUUCGGAACUGAAGAUUUGGUGAUUGAGUGGCGGACGGGUGAGUAACGCGUGGGUAACCUGCCCUGUACAGGGGGAUAACAGUCAGAAAUGACUGCUAAUACCGCAUAAGACCACAGCACCGCAUGGUGCAGGGGUAAAAACUCCGGUGGUACAGGAUGGACCCGCGUCUGAUUAGCUGGUUGGUGAGGUAACGGCUCACCAAGGCGACGAUCAGUAGCCGGCUUGAGAGAGUGAACGGCCACAUUGGGACUGAGACACGGCCCAAACUCCUACGGGAGGCAGCAGUGGGGAAUAUUGCACAAUGGGGGAAACCCUGAUGCAGCGACGCCGCGUGAGUGAAGAAGUAUUUCGGUAUGUAAAGCUCUAUCAGCAGGGAAGAAAAUGACGGUACCUGACUAAGAAGCCCCGGCUAACUACGUG